UUCAAGUUACAUUCCUAAAGUUAAUGUCAUUCUGCAAAAUUGUCAGAAUAAUAGCACAAUCUUUGGCUUAUCUAACUUUAAAACUAAUUUUGGAAAAAACCCUUUACAUAGAUCAACCG